GAUGAACGCUGGCGGCGUGCCUAAUACAUGCCAGUCGAGCGAACAGAUGAGGAGCUUGCUCCUCUGACGUUAGCGGCGGACGGGUGAGUAACACGUGGAUAACCUACCUAUAAGACUGGGAUAACUUCGGGAAACCGGAGCUAAUACCGGAUAAUAUAUUGAACCGCAUGGUUCAAUAGUGAAAGACGGUUUUGCUGUCACUUAUAGAUGGAUCCGCGCCGCAUUAGCUAGUUGGUAAGGUAACGGCUUACCAAGGCAACGAUGCGUAGCCGACCUGAGAGGGUGAUCGGUCACACUGGAACUGAGACACGGUCCAGACUCCUACGGGAGGCAGCAGUAGGGAAUCUUCCGCAAUGGGCGAAAGCCUGACGGAGCAACGCCGCGUGAGUGAUGAAGGUCUUCGGAUCGUAAAACUCUGUUAUUAGGGAAGAACAAAUGUGUAAGUAACUAUGCACGUCUUGACGGUACCUAAUCAGAAAGCCACGGCUAACUACGUG
rnacentral:rRNA from 1 species